rnacentral:rRNA from 1 species
UGGGGGAUAUUGCACAAUGGGGGAAACCCUGAUGCAGCGACGCCGCGUGAGGGAAGAAGGUUUUCGGAUUGUAAACCUCUGUCUUCGGUGACGAAAAUGACGGUAGCCGAGGAGGAAGCCACGGCUAACUACGUGCCAGCAGCCGCGGUAAUACGUAGGUGGCAAGCGUUGUCCGGAAUUACUGGGUGUAAAGGGAGCGUAGGCGGGAGAGCAAGUCGAUUGUCUAAACUAUGGGCUCAACCCAUAGUCGCGAUCGAAACUGUUUUUCUUGAGUGAAGUAGAGGUAAGCGGAAUUCCUAGUGUAACGGUGAAAUGCGUAAAUAUUAGGAGGAACACCAGUGGCGAAGGCGGCUUACUGGGCUUUAACUGACGCUGAGGCUCGAAAGCGUGGGUAGCAAACAGG